AGGUCCUACGGGGGGCAGCAGUGAGGAAUAUUGGUCAAUGGUCGGGAGACUGAACCAGCCAAGCCGCGUGAGGGAGGAAGGUACAGAGUAUCGUAAACCUCUUUUGUCAGGGAACAAAGACUGGGACGCGUCCCCGGAUGAGUGUACCUGAAGAAAAAGCAUCGGCUAACUCCGUGCCAGCAGCCGCGGUAAUACGGAGGAUGCGAGCGUUAUCCGGAUUUAUUGGGUUUAAAGGGGGCGCAGGCGGUCUGUUAAGUCAGCGGUAAAAUUUCGGGGCUCAACCC
rnacentral:rRNA from 1 species